rnacentral:lncRNA from 1 species
CAAUCCUUGAAGUAUUUGAGAGAGGCCUAAAAUCCUCACAUGGUCCUUCGAACAACUUUGAACCAUAUUUAUACAGCUUCUCAGUAAAAGUAUGAAGGAAGAGAAUAUCCAUUCAACUCCUAUCAUGAAGAAAAUUAUCAAUAAUCCGGAUUUACCGGAAGAAGAGAUUGUGAUCCUUUAAGAACUCGAAUCCGUUCACUCAUUGUGGAAAGAGCAUUUCUUGGAAAAUGAUCCACAAGAAGAAGAAGAGAUAAGAGAGGCCAAAA